CGACAAUUGGCGUUUGACGCUAGCUUCACUGCAUAAAUGUUCGAUCUCUUUCAACUACGUCGAGGCUUGCGCUUUAUGGGAUAACGCUUUUCGGUAAUUAUUGUUUUCUCAUAGCAUACGGUGUGAUUAUUGAAGUUUUUCAUUUUUAUUCUAGUCAAAGACAUGGCUCUUAGCGUUGCACUUCCCUUAACUGGCUUGGAGACAGAUAAUUUUAACUCGUUCAGCUCGUUUGGUCAUAUAAUUGAGAUCGCGGGUUUAUCUCAAUCGCAAUCGAGCCCAAGCCCGUCAGUGUCCAGUGAAUCUAGCGGUAUCGGUUCGCUAGGAUCACUCAAAUCCGAAUCAGUGAACAGUGACUCCCUGCCUUCAAGUCCUCAAACGACUGAAAAGAAAAUCUUCGAACCAGUCUUGCAGCUGCAGCCGCGCCCACAGGAGAAGAAAGCCGAAGAUGUCAAAGUUACGUAUGGUGGCAGAGACAUCCUCAAUCUGAUGGCAAAUCUCACUGACCCGAGAUGGAGCUAUCGUGCCACAAUAUUGCCACCAAAUAAUCCUGCAUUGUUUUUCGCAAAUCGCUCCCAGUAUCAUCGCUUGGGACCAUAUGGAACUCGCACACAGUAUGUAAAAGACAACUGCCGUCUCUGUGGAUUCACAUGGGUUGUGGCUGCUACAGAUUGAUGUGAUUUUCUGUCACAUUAAAUUUCGAACAAACAUUAAGUUGAAAGGGUACAACUGGGACACAUCAGGCUGCAUAUCAAUGUUUUUAUUUAUUCUGACUGUCACAUUUGCACUUCAGAACCAAUGACUCAACAAACAAUGUUCAACAGUUUUUACAAUUUUACCAAAACUGUCCAUAAUUAGUGUUUUGUUUAGAAAGGGCAGUGAUAAAAAUCAAUCAUUGUAUUGUUUGCUCACUUAUCAAAAUUUAUUUACUUUGUUUACAUUUAUUUUGAGAUGAAUCUUUAUUUCAUUGUUUGAAUUGUAGUUAUUGGUUUGUGACUAUCCUACUAGUAGUGUCUGUAUGCUUUCCUGCUGUGACCCAGUUCUACAGAUGACUGUGGAAUAUGUGGCUAUUGUUUCUCACGUUAAAGAUACAUUUAAUGUGACUUAAUACUGUGAUCUUAAUUUAAACAAGACAUUUUUGUACAAUUUCAUUAAAUAGAAACACACAAUGGACAUGCGAAUUAGACAUAGUUUCUAAUCACUUUUUGGAUUGUGUGAUAAUUAGGCUUAAUUUAAAAACAACAAUAUUUCUACUUGAAUAUUAUGCCAAAAAAAUUUACAUUUAUUCCAAAUCAACAUUACUAGCUCCCAUUUUCAAUUAACUUAAAAAAUCAUUUGCUAAAACAUAUCUCAAAACUCAAAUUAUUUUACUGUUGAAAUUUUAAAAUAAUAUAUUCAUUUUAUUUUAUUCUACACUUAGUUCCUCUUAGAAAUGUUAAUGAAUUAAUUUUUUUUUAUCCAAAGAAUAUUAUAUUAACAAUAAAUUGUUAGCCACAAUUUAAAUUGAUUAGUAUAAAGGACUUGUUCAGCUCAUGGAUUCCAAGUCCGGGUACUCUUAAAGCAAUAUUUAAAUUUUAGACAUAAACUUACAAUAACAUGAGCUACUUCCCACCAUAGUGUGUAAUAAUUAUUGUUUAAAUAUUGUUUUACUCUAUUCAUUAGUUUCUAGAUAUAAUUAUUAAGAUAUAUUCCACAGUCAUUUAUCAAUAGGAUUGUCAUUGUUUAAACCAAAAGGCUGCUUCUCGGAUGUUAUUUAAAUUUACGAUUUUGACGAGAUAGGCACGAAUUUAAAGCCAAGCUGUAGGUUAAUUUUUAAGGUCUAAUAACGAUUGUUGGAUUUUACCGUCCGAGCAUAUUAAUACAUAAAAGUGAUGACAUAUAGCUAUGAUCUAGACAGUUCCCAAAAACUCCCUAUAUGACUUGAUGAGAAAGCUUGAACACCUCAUUUAAUUAUAUGACGAGCCCAUACAAAACAUAGUCAAAUGGGUUAUCAGUGCAUAUCAUCACAAAUUAAUGCAGUGAUUAGAUAUUCUAAGGUAUUAGUAGUUGUUACAGACCGUUUUAAAACGUUUGAGUCAUUGAAUUGCCCAGAUACUGGGUUCCUAGUGAAAUUAUAAUAAGUGUCGUUACAGACUGGCAAUAUCUCUAUGUAUGUGCAUAUAUAAUAUUAAUGUACUAUUCAUGGUCUCUUUAAUUUAGUCAAGGUAUUUAAUAGUGUGAGUCUCUUGAAUAACAUAUAAGUAAAUGUAUAACAUACUAACUAAAUUAAUCAAUAAUUUAAUUGAUACUGUCCUCCUGUGCAAGUUUAGUUCUACUAUGUUGAGAUCAGCUUUAAAAUUUGAACUGGACUUUUUGUACACUAUUAUUAUUAAUGUUGACAUAUUUCCCACAAAGUUAUUUUUAUAAAGAUAAAAUAUUGAUACGAGACAAUACAUUAUAUAGUUCUCCAAAUUUUCUUUGUUAUAAAAAUGGAGUUCGCUUGACGGUCGGCAAAUUUUGGAGGGGACCAACAUCCGCACAUUUUCUUUUUAUGUUUUGAUGACCUAUGUUUAAAAUGUUAUGACCACAACAACAGUUUAUAGAGAUCUACAUUAAAUUAUACUUUAUUUUUAGAUGGAGUCAUAAAUGCAAGUCUGUUUUUUAUGUGUUUGUACAACGAACUGGGCUAUGAACACAAAAAAAUUAUAGUUAAAAUGUUAAACAAAUUGUUUAUUUAUAUAUUUAUUUAUGAUUCAGUGUGUAAUGACUGAACAUAUAGCAUAGAUCUCAGAAUGCAGCUGACAUGAGUACAUACUUAAUGCCUGUUUUAGAAGGCACCUCAUAUGAUAACUGUUUGCGAAUAAUGAAUGUAUAGUUCUGUUGAGAGGUGUCUUUGCUUGCCUAGUGUGCUAUAUCCUCAGUCACGCGCACUCGCACGGUUGUUAUUGGUUAUAAUGAAAUCAAUGUUGCAUUCAGAUUAUUUUUAGUUUUUAUCAUUAUUUUGUGACAAAGCUGCAAUCGCAUGUAGUUCAAAGGAAAGUAUUCGGAGCGAAACGCACAGAUGUAGACUAGCUGUUGUUGUGCAUGUCUCCUAAGUGUUAGUUGUGAUGUAAGCGCCGCGAGGUGCUGAGGUACGAUGCAAUAUUUGCAUUCCAGUUUUGUGUUUUAAGUUUAGCAGCCGAGGGUAGUAGUUGUUAAUGUUUAUUUAAAAUCACAUUGCCAAAUAAUUUGGGUGUUGUGCUAUUAUUUAUUUAACAAGAAAAUCGAAAAUCAAUUUAUUACUUUCCAUCACUAAUUUUAUUUGUUUGAUCGAGAGUGAAUAAUUAAAGUUGUAUACUAAAUGAUUUUACAAAUGUUUCAAUCAUUACAAUUUUUAUGCAUUUUAAAAUGUUUAGUCAAAUCAAUUACAUGAUAUUAUUCAUAAUAAUAUUUAUUAUUCUAUGUAUUGUUCUCAUGUUAUUUUAUUUCAUUCAACUGUAGUCAAAUGACAGUAUUUUUAUAACAAAAUUGUAUAAGGAUGAAGGGUUCAGCCAGAGAACGUCUGCAUCCGGUGUUGCUACGCUAAAUUUGACGUAAUAAAUGCAUAUCGACACCGAUGUCGCACGUACUUCCGGCCUGUAUUACGUAUAUCUGAUAAGCAUUAUGUAGGUUUAGCGAAAUAGAAAUAACUCGGGAGACGAACUCCAGGCACCAAAUCUUAUUGGUUCAAUGUUAUUCUCGUAUUAUGGUGAUAUAGUGCGUCGCGCUCGGCGCAGAGCUCAAUAUUUUUAGUGACCCUUAAGAAAAUUAAUACCUCUUUUGAAAAGAAUAUAAUAAUUAUUACAUAGUAUAUUCAAUCGAUGAUCACAUAUUAUGUAUUUCCCUGUUUAUUUUGAUGUGAUAUCAUAAAUGACUGAUCUGAAUUUAGUUUUUAAGUUGGUUAUCGAUGUGCAGUGCUAUUUCGAGAGUAUAAUUAAGAUUUAAUAUUGAAAAGUGCCAAUGCUCGUAAUUUAAUCUAUAUGACUGUUCCUUUAAUGUAGCUGUGACAGCUCGACUCCAACAUCGGAAGAGAGCUCGUCUCAUCUUGUCCACUUCAGUAUAAUAUUAUUAAGCAACUUCCUUCUAACGCUAAGUAUAUCAAAUGUUAAUGUUUGUAACGAACCACGUAACGUGCACAAUCUCAGUAAUGCUUGCAAUAUUAUGUAUAAAAUGUUUUAAUUCCUCAAUUUAAUUUAAUCCAGCGUAAUGUUAAGAGUACAAUAUUUAAUGAUGUUAUAUCAUUCUAGUAUCAAAAUUAACCGAAGAUGUUAAUAUUAUUAUUAUUAGUUAGGUAAAAUUUUAAACUAGCUUCGUAUAAUUGGGAUGUUUUAGUAUUUAGUAGUGUAUAAUUACUACGUAGUGGCAAGCAAGAUGUCUCGUGUGUGAUGUGAAUAAUGUUAGUGGCAAUAAUACUCGAUGUAAGCUCCCUGCCAAGAGAGUUGUACAGGGUCGCGAGCAUACACAACUGAAAGAUAGACACUAGGCGUUUAUUUGUUGUAAUUAUAAUAAUAGCCGUAGGUAUUUUAUCGUACUUAAAUAAUUAUUCUUGCGAUGCCUUAAUUCUGGUUGUCAAUUAGACACGUCUCUGCCUAGAGUGUUAUCAUUGUUUUUAUUUAUUUUAGUUUUUGCUGUUCCGGCUUCCUCCGUGAACUUCCAGUCCAGGCUGUUCUUUUAAAAUAAUUUUGAGGUCGAUUUAUUUUUACCUAAGUGUUCUUAUUAAAUGUUACCAAAAUGUUUUUAAUAAAAUAUUUUUAUAUGUAA